rnacentral:rRNA from 1 species
UACGUAGGGUGCAAGCGUUAAUCGGAAUUACUGGGCGUAAAGCGUGCGCAGGCGGUUCGCUAAGACAGACGUGAAAUCCCCGGGCUUAACCUGGGAACUGCGUUUGUGACUGGCGGGCUAGAGUACGGCAGAGGGGGGUGGAAUUCCACGUGUAGCAGUGAAAUGCGUAGAUAUGUGGAGGAACACCGAUGGCGAAGGCAGCCCCCUGGGUCGAUACUGACGCUCAUGCACGAAAGCGUGGGGAGCAAACAGG